AUUGAACGCUGGCGGCAGGCUUAACACAUGCAAGUCGAGCGAGCGGCGGACGGGUGCGUAAUGUCUGGGCAACUGCCUGAUGGAGGGGGAUAACUACUGGAAACGGUAGCUAAUCCCGCAUACCAUCCGAUGUUCCCAUAUGGGCUUAGCUAGUAGGUGGGGUAAUGGCUCACCUAGGCGACGAUCCCUAGCUGGUCUGAGAGGAUGACCAGCCAAACUGGAACUGAGACACGGUCCAGACGCCUACGGGAGGCAGCAGUGGGGAAGAGUGCACAAUGGGAGCAAGACUGAUGAAGCAAUGCCGCGUGGGUGAAGAAGGCCUUCGGGUUGUAAAGCACUUUCAGCGAGGAGGCGUUACUCGCAGAAGAAGCACCGGCUAACUCCGUGCCAGCAGCCGCGGUAAUAC
rnacentral:rRNA from 1 species